rnacentral:rRNA from 1 species
UACGAAGGGGGCUAGCGUUGUUCGGAAUUACUGGGCGUAAAGGGCGCGUAGGCGGCGUGUCAAGUCAGGCGUGAAAGCCCCGGGCUCAACCUGGGAACCGCGCUUGAGACUGGCAUGCUCGAGUUCGGGAGAGGAUGGUGGAAUUCCCAGUGUAGAGGUGAAAUUCGUAGAUAUCGGGAGGAACACCAGUGGCGAAGGCGGCGACCUGGACGGACAUUGACGCUGAGACGGCGAAAAGCGUGGGGAGCGAACCGGG